rnacentral:rRNA from 1 species
GACGAACCGUGCGAACGUUGUUCGGAAUCACUGGGCUUAAAGGGCGCGUAGGCGGGCUGGCAAGUCAGGGGUGAAAGCCCACGGCUCAACCGUGGAAGUGCCUUUGAUACUGCCGGCCUGGAGGGAGGUAGGGGCGUGCGGAACUUCCGGUGGAGCGGUGAAAUGCGUAGAUAUCUGGAGGAACACCGGUGGCGAAGGCGGCAUCCUGGACCGACACUGACGCUGAGGAGCGAAAGCCAGGGGAGCAAACGGG